rnacentral:rRNA from 1 species
CAUGAUGAACGCUAGCGACAGGCUUAACACAUGCAAGUCGAGGGGCAGCGGGGGUAGCAAUACCCGCCGGCGACCGGCGCACGGGUGAGUAACGCGUAUGCAACUUACCUAUCAGAGGGGGAUAACCCGGCGAAAGUCGGACUAAUACCGCAUGAAGCAGGGAUCCCGCAUGGGAAUAUUUGCUAAAGAUUCAUCGCUGAUAGAUAGGCAUGCGUUCCAUUAGGCAGUUGGCGGGGUAACGGCCCACCAAACCGACGAUGGAUAGGGGUUCUGAGAGGAAGGUCCCCCACAUUGGUACUGAGACACGGACCAAACUCCUACGGGAGGCAGCAGUGAGGAAUAUUGGUCAAUGGCCGAGAGGCUGAACCAGCCAAGUCGCGUGAGGGAUGAAGGUUCUAUGGAUCGUAAACCUCUUUUAUAAGGGAAUAAAGUGCGGGACGUGUCCCGUUUUGUAUGUACCUUAUGAAUAAGAAUCGGCUAACUCCGUGCCAGCAGCCGCGGUAAUACGGAGGAUCCGAGCGUUAUCCGGAUUUAUUGGGUUUAAAGGGUGCGUAGGCGGCCUUUUAAGUCAGCGGUGAAAGUCCGUGGCUCAACCAUAGAAUUGCCGUUGAAACUGGGGGGCUUGAGUAUGUUUGAGGCAGGCGGAAUGCGUGGUGUAGCGGUGAAAUGCAUAGAUAUCACGCAGAACCCCGAUUGCGAAGGCAGCCUGCCAAGCCAUUACUGACGCUGAUGCACGAAAGCGUGGGGAUCAAACAGGAUUAGAUACCCUGGUAGUCCACGCAGUAAACGAUGAUCACUAGCUGUUUGCGAUACACUGUAAGCGGCACAGCGAAAGCGUUAAGUGAUCCACCUGGGGAGUACGCCGGCAACGGUGAAACUCAAAGGAAUUGACGGGGGCCCGCACAAGCGGAGGAACAUGUGGUUUAAUUCGAUGAUACGCGAGGAACCUUACCCGGGUUUGAACGCAUUCGGACCGAGGUGGAAACACCUUUUCUAGCAAUAGCCGUUUGCGAGGUGCUGCAUGGUUGUCGUCAGCUCGUGCCGUGAGGUGUCGGCUUAAGUGCCAUAACGAGCGCAACCCUUGCCACUAGUUACUAACAGGUAAAGCUGAGGACUCUGGUGGGACUGCCAGCGUAAGCUGCGAGGAAGGCGGGGAUGACGUCAAAUCAGCACGGCCCUUACAUCCGGGGCGACACACGUGUUACAAUGGCGUGGACAAAGGGAAGCCACCUGGCGACAGGGAGCGAAUCCCCAAACCACGUCUCAGUUCGGAUCGGAGUUUGCAACCCGACUCCGUGAAGCUGGAUUCGCUAGUAAUCGCGCAUCAGCCAUGGCGCGGUGAAUACGUUCCCGGGCCUUGUACACACCGCCCGUCAAGCCAUGGGAGCCGGGGGUACCUGAAGUCCGUAACCGCGAGGAUCGGCCUAGGGUAA